rnacentral:rRNA from 1 species
AACGAACGCUGGCGGCAGGCUUAACACAUGCAAGUCGAACGCCCCGCAAGGGGAGUGGCAGACGGGUGAGUAACGCGUGGGAAUCUACCGUGCCCUGCGGAAUAGCUCCGGGAAACUGGAAUUAAUACCGUAUACGCCCUACGGGGGAAAGAUUUAUCGGUAUCAGAUGAGCCCGCGUAAGAUUAGCUAGUUGGUGGGGU